GACGAACGCUGGCGGCGUGCUUAACACAUGCAAGUCGAACGGAAAGGCCCUGUCUUUGUGGGGUGCUCUCGUGGCCACCGGGUGAGUAACACUUGAGUACCCUGCCCUUGACUUUGGGAUAACUUCAGGACACUGGGGCUAAUACCGGAUAGGAGCUCCUGCUGUAUGGUGGGGGUUGGAUAGUUUCGGCGGUUGGGGAUGGACUCGCGUCCUAUCAGCUUGUUGGUGGGGUAGUGGCUUAGCAAGGCUUUGACGGGUAGCCGGGCUGGGAGGGUGAGCGGACACGUUGGAACUGAGAUGAGGCACGGACUACUACGGGAGGGAACGGUGGAGAAGAUUGCAUAAUGGGCGGAAGCCAGAUCCAGCAACGCCACGCGCGGGAUGUGGGCCUUCGGGUUGUAAACCGAUGUCGCCUUAGACGAAGCGAGAGUGACGGUAAUGGGUGAAGAAGCACCGGCUAACUACGUG
rnacentral:rRNA from 1 species